rnacentral:rRNA from 1 species
UUACGGUCAAAUCACGCUGAAACACCGGUUCUCGUUCGAUCACCGAAGUUAAGCAUCGUAGAGCCAGGUCAGUACUUUGAUGGGGGACCGCUUGGGAACACCUGGUACUGUAAG